ensembl:misc_RNA Y_RNA Y RNA
GGCUGGUCUGAAGGUAGUGGGUUAUCUCGAUUGUUCAGUCAGUUACAGAUCGAACUUCCUUGUUCUCCUCUUUCCCCCCUUCUCACUACUGCACUUGACUAAAAA